UGAGGAAUAUUGGUCAAUGGGCGCAAGCCUGAACCAGCCAUGCCGCGUGAAGGAUGAAGGCCCUAUGGGUUGUAAACUUCUUUUAUACGGGAAGAAACCCUCAGACGUGUUUGAGGUUGACGGUACCGUAGGAAUAAGGAUCGGCUAACUCCGUGCCAGCAGCCGCGGUAAUACGGAGGAUCCGAGCGUUAUCCGGAUUUAUUGGGUUUAAAGGGUGCGUAGGCGGAAUUGUAAGUCAGUGGUGAAAGCCCGCAGCUCAACUGCGGAACUGCCAUUGAUACUGCCAUUCUUGAGUACAGUUGGAGUAGGCGGAAUGUGACGUGUAGCGGUGAAAUGCUUAGAUAUGUCACAGAACACCGAUCGCGAAGGCAGCUUACUAAACUGUAACUGACGCUCAGGCACGAAAGCGUGGGGAUCAAACAGG
rnacentral:rRNA from 1 species